rnacentral:sRNA from 1 species
GCCAGGCAUGGUGGCUCAUACCUGUAAUCCCAGUGGCUCAGGAGGCUGAGGCAGGAGGAUCACACGUUCAAAACCAGCCUCAGCAAUUUUGUAAGACCCUGUCUCAG